UUAGACAGGAUACACUCUGGUCCAAUGAGGUUCUGUGGCUUGAAUGUGGACAUGAACCGCCCCAUAAUGGAGACUCUGGGGAGAACCUUCCUAUGGGCACUGUCCGCAAAACAGCAUUGGCCCCCAGCACUGUUCAUGCCCACCGCUGGAGCUGUUACUGUCCAAAUUGUGCUCAACCACAACUGGACAGUAUGGGCCGCAGGGGCACCGGAGCCCAUCCCGACAAGCAAGAGGCACCAGGCAGGGUCGCAGAGGGGCAGUCCCGAGUCCGAUUCAAGCUCUACUGUCCUCUGGGACAAAUUGGUUUUGCAGCAACAAUGCGACCAACCCGGACAAACGCCGCCAGCAAGGAAGACGAUACGGCAGUGUCACAGGAGGGAAGAGAGCACGUUUCCCAGGCUUGAGAAUGGGACUAACCUAACCUGGACAGUGGUGUUGGCCGGAGCUACUGUGGUUCCUCCGAAUGUCAGGGGUGAUUGAGAGAGAGUGUUGCCCCUGGCCGGUUCAUCGACAUCAAAAGAUAUGAAGAGGGUCAGAAGUUAUUGUGCUAUAUGAGCACUUUGACAGAUCAUGGGAAGUCCCAUCAUUGGAAUGCACUCGGGUGACCUCAGAUUCAAAGUCUUAGCCAAGCCAUUCUUGGGAGCCCAGCUUGCCUCCUGCUUGGUGUCAGGUGUACCAGGAAGUGUCUCCAGAGAAUGCAGAAAGCUUUGUUACACUGCAGGAUGUGUGAACAUAGCCAACCGCGCAAAGCAACUGCAUUGGCAGAUAUAAUUGACACUGAAGCUCUACAGGGACCAAGGUGGCUAAAUCAAUCCAGCAGCCAGGGCUGGUGGUCCAGUCAUACGGAAAGAAAUUGAGGGUGUUUUUCACAGACGGAAGACUGUGUGUAACAGGCAAGGCUCAAACGUGUGACUCAGUGAAAGGAAAUGCUGUUACUGUUUGUACAAUAAAAUAUAUAACUGUACAGUUACAACCUGAACCAGGAGUUUAUUAUGUGCUAAAGCAGGAAAUGUACUGUUGAAGGACAGUGCAGAAACACCAGACUACUACAGAUAAAAUAAUUUAACAGAAAAAGGAACAGAAUCAUGUUUGACUAUUUGUUUAACUCCACAGAACAGUACUAACCAUCUCACUGUUUGAGUGUGUGAAUGCUAAUGGUUUUUGUUAAUGUCUUCAACGAUUUGUUUAAAAAACAGUACUGUCCAGACGCAAAGAGUAACAUUGACAUACGGUAACUGUAGUAUGAUGUUUUAUGGUCUUGGCUGUCUUCAAAACUGC